UACGUAGGGACCAAGCGUUGUUCGGAUUUACUGGGCGUAAAGGGCGCGUAGGCGGACUUGUAAGUCGGGAGUGAAAACUCGGGGCUCAACCCCGAGCCUGCUUCCGAAACCGCGAGUCUUGAGGACCGGAGAGGAAAGUGGAAUUCCUAGUGUAGCGGUGGAAUGCGUAGAUAUUAGGAAGAACACCAGUGGCGAAGGCGACUUUCUGGACGGUUCCUGACGCUGAGGCGCGAAAGCUAGGGGAGCAAACAGG
rnacentral:rRNA from 1 species